CUGUCAUUUCGCCUUUUAUUUCAAAACAGCAUUGUAGUACUCAUGCUUAAAUCAAUGAUUAAACUUUCAGUCAUUUUAAAUGAUAAUGUGAAUUCUUCAAUCAAUGUGUCAGUGGCAUUGCAUUAUUAAUUAAGAUAAGGAAAUUAAAAUAAAAAACCUCCAUCACUGCAAAGAUUUAUUAAAGGGUUAGUUCACCCAAAAAUGAAACCCAUAAGAUGUUCCGAACCCAUAAGUUAUCGUUCAUCUUCGAAACACAAAUGAAGAUAUUUUUAUUGAAUCUGAGAGAUUUCUGUCCCUCCAUUGAAAGUUUCUUCACCCAAAACUCUGUGAGUUCAAAAUGUUCAUAAAGAGAUCGUAAAAUAAAUCUAUUUGAUUUGAACUAUUUAAUCCAAAGCCUUCUAAAGAGACACGAUCACUUUAUAUGAACAGAUUUCAUUUAGGCUUUUAUUCACAUAUAAACAUUGAUCAGUGGAUGUAUACAGAGCCCUUAAAUAGGGUAAACAGAAGCUCAACUGGAUUUUUUUUUGACGGCAGCAAAUUUGCAGUUCCCCAAGAACCAAUGAGGUUCAUUCUCACACGUCACGGCAGCAAAUUUGAAGUUCCCCAAAAACCAAUGAGGUUCAUUCUCGCGCGUCACGGCAGCAAAUUUGCAGUUCCCCAAGAACCAAUGAGGUUCAUUCUCGCGCGUCACGGCAGCAAAUUUGCAGUUCCCCAAGAACCAAUGAGGUUCAUUCUCGCACGUCAUGGCAGCAAAUUUGCAGUUCCCCAAGAACCAAUGAGGUUCAUUCUCGCACGUCAUGGCAGCAAAUUUGCAGUUCCCCAAGAACCAAUGAGGUUCAUUCUCGCACGUCACGGCAGCAAAUUUGAAGUUUCCCAAGAACCAAUGAGGUUCAUUCUCGCGCGUCACGGCAGCAAAUUUGAAGUUCCCCAAGAACCAAUGAGGUUCAUUCUCGCGCGUCACGGCAGCAAAUUUGCAGUUCCCCAAGAACCAAUGAGGUUCAUUCUCACACGUCAUGGCAGCAAAUUUGCAGUUCCCCAAGAACCAAUGAGGUUCAUUCUCGCACGUCAUGGCAGCAAAUUUGCAGUUCCCCAAGAACCAAUGAGGUUCAUUCUCGCACGUCACGGCAGCAAAUUUGAAGUUUCCCAAGAACCAAUGAGGUUCAUUCUCGCGCGUCACGGCAGCAAAUUUGAAGUUCCCCAAGAACCAAUGAGGUUUGUUUUCGCGCAUUUUCAAGCAUUUUGUUUUCAAGCAUUUUGAGCUUCCGUUUACCAUAUUUGAGUGCUCUAUGUAUGUUCGUUGAUCAGUGUUUAUAUAAUAAAAUUAUCUUUUAUAUAAAUAAUAGAAGAUAAUUAAAUCUGUUCAUCAUUGUG